rnacentral:tRNA from 1 species
GGGCGCUUAGCUCAGUUGGUAGAGCAGCUGACUCUUAAUCAGCGGGUCGUAGGUUCGAACCCUACUGCGCCCACCA